UUUUUUUAAAAUUUUUUUAAAAACAGUUCUAUUACACACUAAUUAAUGAUUAGUUUUUUUAUUUUUGUAACUAGUUUCAAUUAGUAACAAUAACUUUAUUUAAAAGAAAAAUGAAUUCAUUAGAAGAAAAGCUAUGUGAAGUACUAAAAGUCGACAGCUUGCCACAAGAAUUAGUAAUCAAACUAUUAGAAGAAGCAAUGGAUCUCAAUUCCUUUGUACUAGUUAAUGGAAAUGAUUUGGUUGAAUUAGGUUUUAAAAUGGGACAGAGAAAACUUAUCAUGCAGUGGUUGCAGUCAUGUGCAGUUUUACCUGUAGUUGGUUUUUUGCAGCAUCAAGCUGAAUUGUCACCAGUGUUAAACUUAAUAGCUGCACCAAUUCAGAGAAAUAUUUCAAUCCCACCCUCUAGUAAUAUAUAUCCUGUAAAAGAGGUACUCUGUAAGAAUGACAACAGUUCCGCAAGCGUUCACGGACUAACACUUGUGACAAAGUUGUUAAGCGGUGAAAUAUAUUCAACACAAGAAAGAAACUUUUUAGUGCGAAUUUUAGGCCGAUAUCUUAUGGAGGUUGCAAAAGUAAAGGAUAUGCCCUCAAAGGAGGAAAAAUUAGCUAUGGCUGUUUCAACAGUUUUCCCUUGUCUAAAAAGUAAAUUUACGGAAUCUGGUCACGAGCAUUUUUAUUGUGGAAAAUCUCAUACUGGCCACAUUGAGAUUUAUGUUAGACAAAGACGCUCAAGGUCUAAACAUAUAAUCACAAAGUGGAAUCAUAGGAAAGGAACACCACCUUGUCGAGAACUUGUUAGUGAUGAAAAUUUUGAAGUUGAACGUAUACUCCGAGAGCGUCGUCCAACAGUUCUUAAUCAAGAAGAGUUGCUGCACAUGAUGGCAGAGACUAGAAUUUUUCGAAGAGAUUGGAUCUUAAACACUAAACCAAAUGCUACUCUUAUCCUGAAAAGAUAUCCGAGGUUUUCGGAUAUGAAUGAAACUAUACGGCAAGAGUUUUCGUUUUUAGUUGGAAAGUUUAAAGAUAUGCAAAAUCAAUGGACAUUAUGCAGAGAUGUAAUUUUACAACUUGCAGUAACUGCUUCUGUCAAAGACGAAGAUUUAAAAGAAGAGUUAUUUUGUAUUAGUGCUGUUGAAAAUGAGUUUGAUGAAGCAAAAAAACUAUCGUAUCUUUUAAAGCACUACCUUAUUUAUUGCCAUCUCCACUAAAGAGAGGAAAGAAGGAACCUAGGAAGUCUGGAAAAGCAACAUCGAUGCGUUUUAUUGUUGAACUUGAGAAUAUGACCGUUGAUGCUGCUAUUGAAGUCUUAAAUCUAGAUGGGUGCAAGCAGCCGUUGAUUUUUAUACUAGGAUCGGCAGUGUACAUUAAAGUGGAUUUAAAUGCCAUAUUGGUUGAAGAUGCCGAUUCUUUUCCCGAGGUGGUAUUACUUCUUUUGGCAACGUUUUACGUUUUUGACCUAGAGUAUCCGGAUGAAUUGC
rnacentral:misc_RNA from 1 species